rnacentral:pre_miRNA from 1 species
AGUGGAUUAGCUGGGUCAAAUGGUCAUUCCAUUCCAAUUUUUCUGAGGAAUCUCCACACUGCUUUCCAGAGUGGUUGCACCAAUUUGCAGUUCAACUAGCAAU